CGAGUAUUAUUUUCUUCGAACACCUCCGCGUCCUGAUGAUUGCCGUUAAUCAUAUGCUGGUAUACAUCCUCCACGUGAACGUUUUCCUAGGUUCCUUACACGGUAAGAGCGGGUGUCAACAGCUUUUUUUAUAUCAUCACAUGCACCAUCGUAAACUUGUAGCCCUUCUCUGAUUACUGCACGAUCAUGAAAUGAAAAUUAUAUAUUAGUAGAAUAUCUAUCAUUUAAAAAAUAAAUAAAUCAUGAUAUCGGCUUGCAUCAAUGAUUUCCAUGGGCAUGUUUCCUUAUAAAAAAUAAUGGUACUAUGUGAAUAAGCCUCCAAAGAACCUGUGGGUGUACAUGGGAGAAAAAAUCAAUUUUGUUUUAUUUAUGAUUAAGAUAAGAUUUAAACAAUGAACUCAUACUUCUAUCCCGAUUGACAAGAACCCUAGUAGCAAUUACAAACUUAUUCUUCAUCUCUGGUUCAACAAAUUCUGCACUAUGCCCCUGUCCGUAGGUAGUUAGAACUCGGAGGAAUACAAUGCAACAGCUACACAGGAAAAGUGAUACAAUGCAUAAUCGAUUGCAUGAAGUUUAGAUAGGAAGCCCAACCUUGUGUCUUUCAAGCAAAUUUCGCGAGU
rnacentral:lncRNA from 1 species